GGAUAACACUUAGAAAUAGGUGCUAAUACCGCAUGAGCGCACAGGACCGCAUGGUCGAGUGUGAAAAACUGAGGUGGUGUAAGAUGGACCCGCGCCUGAUUAGCUAGUUGGUGAGGUAACGGCCCACCAAGGCGACGAUCAGUAGCCGGCCUGAGAGGGUGGACGGCCACAUUGGGACUGAGACACGGCCCAAACUCCUACGGGAGGCAGCAGUGGGGGAUAUUGGACAAUGGGGGGAACCCUGAUCCAGCGACGCCGCGUGAGUGAAGAAGUAUCUCGGUAUGUAAAGCUCUAUCAGCAGGGAAGAAGAAAUGACGGUACCUGAGUAAGAAGCCCCGGCUAACUACGUGCCAGCAGCCGCGGUAAUACGUAGGGGGCAAGCGUUAUCCGGAAUUACUGGGUGUAAAGGGAGCGUAGACGGUGAUGUAAGUCUGGAGUGAAAGGCGGGGGCCCAACCCCCGGACUGCUCUGGAAACUAUGUGACUGGAGUGCAGGAGAGGUGAGCGGAAUUCCUAGUGUAGCGGUGAAAUGCGUAGAUAUUAGGAGGAACACCAGUGGCGAAGGCGGCUCACUGGACUGUAACUGACGUUGAGGCUCGAAAGCGUGGGGAGCAAACAGGAUUAGAUACCCUGGUAGUCCACGCCGUAAACGAUGAUCACUAGGUGUGGGUGGGUAUGGACCCAUCGGU
rnacentral:rRNA from 1 species